GCUGUUGCAUCAAGAUAGCCAAAACACUGCCGAUUGAAAUGUUAAUUACAUUAACAGCGUCAUUAUUGAGCUGCAAAACAGAGUGGGGAGGUCAGUCAGCUCCAUUGAUGAUAUACAUAAAGUUCAAAAUCUGGAAGGUAAAGAAAG